rnacentral:misc_RNA from 1 species
UCUUCUUCGAGGAACGUUUUGAUGGUAUCUCUAUUACUCUCCCUCUACAUCUCUCUACAUUUAUGCCUUAUUUCAACACUUUAAAUGAUCUCAGUUUGGUAUUGUAGAUUGCAGCUUGUAUUACUGGAAUUUGGAUGCAUGGUUAUGGUUGAAUUUGAUUAGAUAUGUGAAAGAUGGGUGUUUUUUGUGUGGUUAAUGUGUGGAUCAGUGGAUCCGGUAGCUCUGUUAAGCUGCUUUGUGUAAUAGCGUAGUUGUGGCUAGAAAUGUGAUCAUUUUCGCUAGAUCUGCUGUUACAUGUUUUGUUGAUGAAUUGUUUAGUUUUGCAUUUGAAAAUGGUAAUUGGUUAAAUUUUGUUGGGUUUCAUUUUUCUUUUCUGUUUGUUUAAUGGGAAAUUAUGUUUAAUGGGAAAUUAUGGGAAAUUACAUGGACGAAUACUGGAUUGACUAAGCAUUUAUUUAGAUCCAAAUGUAUGAAGUUGGAUAGUAUCUGGUUUUAUAUUUACACGUGGAUUUUCAGCAUAUGGAAUUGCAAAAAUGUAUGAUGGUCAAAAUCUUGACUUUUUUCUUUUUGAUCACUUGGCUUGAUUAAGGUUUGGCCUUAGUCUCCUGGAAGAAAAAGCGGCAUUGAUAGUAAUUAUUUAAAAUUUUAUGCUGUUUUCUGUUCAAUUUUUAUGGUUUUUACUCGGUGUGGGCAUGUUGCUGUUAGUUCACAUUUUACUUGUUAUGCCCACCAUAACAUUUGCUCAUUUCCAAUUCUUUCUUUCUUUUUUUAUUUUUUAUUUUU